rnacentral:rRNA from 1 species
AGGAUUCCCCUAGUAAUGGCGAAUGAAGCGGGAACAGCUCAAAUUUAAAAUCUGCGUUGCUUGCGACGCCGAAUUGUAGUUUCUAGAAGCACUUUCUAGGCGAGUCGGCUCCGUCCAAGUUGCUUGGAACAGCACGUCAUAGAGGGUGACAACCCCGUCUGUGGCGGAAACGACCGCUCACGAUGUGUUUUCGACGAGUCGGGUUGUUUGGGAAUGCAGCCCAAAAUGGGUGGUAAACUCCAUCUAAAGCUAAAUAUUGGCACGAGACCGAUAGCGAACAAGUACCGUGAGGGAAAGAUGAAAAGCACUUUGAAAAGAGAGUUAAAAAGUACGUGAAACCGUUAAAAGGGAAACGGAUGGGGUUAGCAAUGCACCUUGCGAGAUUCAGCCGGGCGUCGCGUCGGGCGAGCGGUUUGCGGAUCUGAAUGGACCGUGGCCGUUCGGUUCGGCGCCUCUACCGUCGCACUUCUCGCGGGUGCGCGCCAACGUCGGUUAGCCGUGGGUUACAAAGGUUCGGGCAAGGUAGGCUUUUCCCUUCGGGGAAGAGUUGUUAUAGGCCUGUGCUGUAUGACCCGCGGGUGACCGAGGAGUCGCGGUGCAUGCCUUUUUUGGCUAGGGUCCCGUCUUGCCGGUCGGUAGUCAACUGUGGUGGACUGCAUGCAGUGCACUGCGACUGCUGCCGGUCGCUGAGGCGGUGAUUUCGUACUAUGCGCCAAGGACGUUGGCGGUCACAUGGCCUCAUUCGACCCGUCUUGAAACACGGACCAGGGAGUCUAACAUGUGCGCGAGUCUUUGAUUGAAGGAAACUCGCAGGCGCACAUGGAAGUCGGAAUCCGCUAAGGAGUGUGUAACAACUCACCUGCCGAAGCAACUAGCCCUGAAAAUGGAUGGCGCUCAAGCGUCGCACCUAUACCGUGCCGUCGGAGCAAAUGCUAAGCUUCGACGAGUAGGAGGGCGUGGGGGUCGUGACGCAGCCUUUGGCGCGAGCCUGGGUGAAACGGCCUCUAGUGCAGAUCUUGGUGGUAGUAGCAAAUAUUCAAAUGAGAGCUUUGAAGACCGAAGUGGAGAAAGGUUCCAUGUGAACAGCAGUUGGACAUGGGUUAGUCGAUCCUAAGAGAUAGGGAAAUUCCGUUUUCAAGCGCUCGAUCUCGAGCCGUCUAUCGAAAGGGAAUCGGGUUAAUAUUCCCGAACCGGAACACGGAUAGAGCCGCUUUCGGGCGGCGGGUGCGGUGACGCAAACGAACCCGGAGACGCCGGCGGGAGCCCUGGGAAGAGUUCUCUUUUCUUUUUAACGGACUUUCACCCUGAAAUCAGCUUGCCUGGAGAUAGGGUUUGAUGUCCGGUAAAGCACCACACUUCUUGUGGUGUCCGGUGCGCUCCCGACGGCCCUUGAAAAUCCGGGGGAGACGGUGAUUUUCGUGUCCGGUCGUACUCAUAACCGCAGCAGGUCUCCAAGGUGAGCAGCCUCUGGUUGAUAGAACAAUGUAGGUAAGGGAAGUCGGCAAAAUAGAUCCGUAACCUCGGCAGGUGUCCUAAGGCGAGCUCAAUGAGAACAGAAAUCUCAUGUAGAACAAAAGGGUAAAAGCUCACUUGAUUUUGAUUUUCAGUAUGAAUACAAACUGUGAAAGCAUGGCCUAUCGAUCCUUUAGUCUUUAAGAGUUUUAAGCUAGAGGUGUCAGAAAAGUUACCACAGGGAUAACUGGCUUGUGGCAGCCAAGCGUUCAUAGCGACGUUGCUUUUUGAUCCUUCGAUGUCGGCUCUUCCUAUCAUUGCGAAGCAGAAUUCGCCAAGUGUUGGAUUGUUCACCCACCAAUAGGGAACGUGAGCUGGGUUUAGACCGUCGUGAGACAGGUUAGUUUUACCCUACUGAUGAAGUGUUGUUGCAAUAGUAAUUCUGCUCAGUACGAGAGGAACCGCAGAUUCAGACAAUUGGCAUUUGCACUUGGCUGAAAAGCCAAUGGUGCGAAGCUACCAUCUGUUGGAUUAUGA